UAGGGAAUCUUCGGCAAUGGACGAAAGUCUGACCGAGCAACGCCGCGUGAGUGAAGAAGGUUUUCGGAUCGUAAAACUCUGUUGUUAGAGAAGAACAAGGACGUUAGUAACUGAACGUCCCCUGACGGUAUCUAACCAGAAAGCCACGGCUAACUACGUGCCAGCAGCCGCGGUAAUACGUAGGUGGCAAGCGUAGUCCGGAUUUAUUGGGCGUAAAGCGAGCGCAGGCGGUUUCUUAAGUCUGAUGUGAAAGCCCCCGGCUCAACCGGGGAGGGUCAUUGGAAACUGGGAGACUUGAGUGCAGAAGAGGAGAGUGGAAUUCCAUGUGUAGCGGUGAAAUGCGUAGAUAUAUGGAGGAACACCAGUGGCGAAGGCGGCUCUCUGGUCUGUAACUGACGCUGAGGCUCGAAAGCGUGGGGAGCAAACAGG
rnacentral:rRNA from 1 species